rnacentral:rRNA from 1 species
UUUUAUUUGAGAGUUUGAUCCUGGCUCAGGAUGAACGCUGGCGGCGUGCCUAACACAUGCAAGUUGAGCGAUUUACUUCGGUAAAGAGCGGCGGACGGGUGAGUAACGCGUGGGUAACCUACCCUGUACACACGGAUAACAUACCGAAAGGUAUGCUAAUACGGGAUAAUAUAUUUGAGAGGCAUCUCUUAAAUAUCAAAGGUGAGCCAGUACAGGAUGGACCCGCGUCUGAUUAGCUAGUUGGUAAGGUAACGGCUUACCAAGGCGACGAUCAGUAGCCGACCUGAGAGGGUGA